ensembl:lncRNA
GAUCCAUCAAGAGCUUUGGAUCCCACCAUUCUCACCUGGAACGUGAUAUAUUUCAUCCCUUACACCAAAUGCCUUCCCAGAAACUGUGUAUCACACAGACCACUCAGUGAAGAGCACAACCACCCACUUGCCAGUGGGGUGAUGUUUUUAUACAACAUCCACUUCAUCUCCAGCCUGUGAAUCCUGACCCUCAAGGUUAAGGCCUUGUUGCCAGUGGGUGGAGUGGUGAGAUCUACAUUGCAUCUACUAUGGCUAAGGAGAAGACCAGCAUUUCCAGGACUGUCAACUGAACCUCCUUCACACUACAGACACAACUUUAUAAAUACAAAAAGAAAAAGAAAAAAUUGAACUGUGAUCUUUCUGGAAUGGAGAUGUAUCCAAAAGAACUGUGCUUUGGGUUGUACAGCCUUCCCAAGGAGUCAGAACAAAUAUCCAGACUUCAACACGAGACCAAGCAGAGUUGCUCAGUCCCUGUGGAGAUGAGAUAUAGAACUGGAGAAUAUAAACAGAUGUGGAGACAUUUUGAUGCAUUUCUGAAAAAACAAAUGACAUUUUGCUGCUAUAUUUUAGAGUUCACUCCAGCCCCCUUAUCAAGAAUAUGAUGCAAAAAACAAUAGUCACUUCAUUUUCAUUUCUCAGUCUGUCUGGAGAGCAAAAGGCACAGUCAUCUAGUAGAUGAGGUAACAUCAGAGCCUAACAACUGUUGAGAAAGUCUUGUAGAGUUUAAAAUGCUGAAGAAAAAGGGAAGAAUCAUUAAGAAACUAUAAAUCUGAAGGAAAUCAAUAUGAUAGUCUAAGAUCUUGAAAUAGCAUAGCAUGUAUUUUUAUUUAGUAUUGCAGGCAGGUUGAUUAGUACCUGAGGGAGAUUCUCAGAAUCACAAAAUUGCACGGGCUGGAAGGGACCGCUGGAGAUCAUCUACAAGCCAGCACAAUGCAUCUAACCCAAUACAGACUAAAAGAUUCCACAGAAACAAGGAACUAUAGGGUACUGGAGCAGAAAUGCUAAGUCACAGCUUGAACCAGUGAUUGAGCACCUGGUGGGAAGGCAGGGCCAACCCAGGGGAGCUCAGGUGCAUGCAAUGAGGAUCCGCCCGAUCCUGGCUCCACCCCUUCCCAGACCUCAUUUAAGGACUGGCAGUAGGGGCAAGAGCAUCUCACUGGAGAUCCCUGUGUAGUAGAGGCCUUCUAAAGAAUAGAUGCCCCAGGAGAACAGAAGAUUGAGCAUGCUGCCCUUUGGCCAUUGGCACUAAUUUGCCAAUUCAGUAGAGAUGACAAAAGAUGAAGUGGGGAGUCCAUGCCCAUCUCAGGUAAAAGAAUUGCCUGUUUCAAGAAAACUGGGAAACACUGAUAGGACAAAAUAAAUGGGAGAAGAACAAGACUCCUAUGUCAUCUUGUGGACUUCAGACACAGCGACAGAUCAAACGUAGUUAUGGUGAGAAAACAUUGAUAUUCUGCCUUCUCCUUGAGCAUAAAGCAGACAACAAACACCUCACUUUAACCUGUAAAUGCUAGGAGGGCUUUGUAUGGACGCUCUAGGUUUGUCGGAAUUUUCUUCCUUCUAAAACGAAUCUCAGAGUCACUGUAGACUAAGAAAAAGAGCAGAUUAAUCGAAUCGGCCUCCCGAACCACCCAGAUUGUACUUCACAAAGGAUUUUGUGUGUUCUUAGCAAGGUCAAUUGACUAAGUAGUCAUCUGUGAGUGUGGAUUCUUGUCUCUUUCUAACCUUCUCUCAAAUUAGGAGAUAUCUGGGCUUGGUGCUCUAUUUUGCCAGUUGCUCUGGCUUCAAAUUUUGAAUUUUUUUAAAAAAUUACACAGUUGAGUCUAAUGCUCAAUUUCAGUGGUUUCCAGGGGAUUAUUUGUAGUGCCUAUUCUGCUAUACAGAGAAAUCUUUCUUUAAAAACACGAUCCAUCUUUCUAGUAGUACUUCAUUUAGAAAUUCAGAGUGGGCAGAUAGCCCUGAGAUAUGGAUAUCCUCUUCUUUUGCCUUCUAUCUGAAAAAGGGGGAAAAAAAAAUCUAGUAUUUUUUUCAGUAUUGCUGAUGUCCCAGACACGUCUGAGUAACUGUCAUGUACAAUCAGUAUCUAUCCAUGGGAAUCUCAUAGAACCAGGGUGGUUUUAAUGUUCACCAGAAUAUUUCUGUGAGAGUUCCUAGGAUGCCAGGGAAAGCACUGACUGACCACAGAAAACAGAUAUGAGACAAGUGCAUGACGACUUUUUUUUUUUUUUUUAAGGAAAAAAGUAUUAAGGAUCCAACUGAGAACUACACUGACACAACUAUAUUUACUUUUGGUCACUGUUAAGUCUGUGUUUUCCAGCCUGUUAACUCCACGAGAAUAAGACAUAGCUGCAGUAUGGAGCUGAGUCAGUUUGGAUUCAGCAUUUAAAGAAAGAAUGGAAGAGAAGCAACCAGGUGUCAAAAGAUGUAAGUAGGUUAGAUCACAAUGAGGAGAUAGCCUUCCCAUCUGCUGGGAACUCCUUUGCAAGGUAAGACUGUUAGAUGUACAAGUCCCUGGCUGGGACUGGUGAAGAGGAUGUAAGCAUGGAAACUAACAGAGCUCUACUAUGAUCAAGUAGGGGAUGAGGGCAGCAUUCCCUAUAAAAAGGAUCUUGAGGUCCCUGCUGAGGUGCCAAGGUUGAAUAUUUUGCCAGAGGUGGAAACUGAAUUGAUUUGUGCCCCUCAGGCUAGCUCCAGGAACCUCACUCCUGCCUGAGAGCAUUAGUCCACAUGUGGAGAGAGGCUUUUCAGCUGGAGACGAGUUUAUGGCUUUUGACUUUUUCAUGUUCAUGUGUUUUUAUAAAGCCACAAUCGUUUUGUUUUUUUUUUUUAUUGGGCUUUUAUAGAAAGGUCUCUGAAGUCUAGCAAAAUCUCAGCUUAACAGUAGAGAUUGUGCUAGAGAGACAUAUAAGAAGUAAGAGAAAAUAAGAAGGCCAUGGGAGAGAUGGGUAAAUACAGAAGUGCAAGCAGAGUUCUGUCAAAGCAAGUUUCUGACUUACACAUUUAACUUUAUCCGUCAGCCUAGGGGCAAGUCUACAGCAUGAUUAACCUCCUAGAUCUCACUUGUUCCAGGUCCAAGCAUUAUCUGGCCAGAGUGCAUUGCCAAUCCACCAUGCCAGCCAUCCCACCAGAGGCAUCUUGAUGUCAGCAUUGAUGUGACCCAGAAAUGAGGGGAGAGUGAUGGGAAUUCACUGUGCUGGGGAAUUCAGUGCUGCAGAUAGUGAAACACCUUCCAAACCAGAAGAGGAAAUGUUGUGUGAAAUGUUCUGGUCAGCCAAGGAAGUGGACCAUGCAGCAUGGGAUGGCAGCCCCUUCGUGAUCCCCGAGGCUUUGGUGCUGGGAUCAGCACAAGGAAGGACGCCAGAGGAAAAAGUAUGAGAUUACCUCUCAGCAAAACCCUUUGGCCUGAAUCACUGACAUCUUUGAUUUAAGCAGUAAUUUAAAACAUGCAUGAUGAGAAGUCAGGGAAGGGAUCCAGGAAGGCCUGGGGUCCAGCCAACCUGGUGUGCCUGCCAAUUUGCUGUUCUGAAGGUCAGGUUCAGGUUGGAAACGUAUUGCUCAGAGGAAGCAGAUGGAAGAAGAGGUGUCUCUGACUUUGAAUCAGCUUCUGUAUGAUCAUGGCUUAAUGAUCAUAAAUCCUCUGGGGCCUGCAACCUAACAAGGGAAUAAAGGAGGAAGCGCCGUCUCUCUCAGAUCAAAGUAAAGAGAAAAGCUGAGAUGUAAAGGAGACAAAAUGAGCUGCAGGGUAUGUGAAAAUCAGAGCUCCCAUACAGCUUGCUGGAGACUGCCAAAAUAGGGUUCUCCACAGCCAUCCCCUACCUAUGCAAUAUAGUGAUGGGAGCGUUUUUAGAUAAGAUCAGACCCAGAGAGAACAUGCCUGGCUCUGUUUCUUCCAGCGGAACAAUAUGGAAACCCACUGCUGGGAAACCGUUUUUCCGAGCCAGAGAGGAGGCAGGGAAUUGUUCUGUGCAACCAUUCAGGAGCCUCCGCUCCCACGCAUUCUCCCGCUUGCUGACACCCUGCCAGGACCGCAAAGGAGGAAUUGAUUUACAUGCAGCUGACUUGCAGCUGAUCUAGAGCACAUCCACAGCAAAAAUGCCACUGGGCAUUUUGCAGUUACUGCAGCAUCACUUCAGAUGAAAGAACAUGCACAAAUCCCUAACUUGAAGAAAAAUAAGAGAACGGAAGAAAAAGUUCACAGGCUGCUGUGUAGCUCAGCGCUCAGGUGAAGGACAGGGCUAUGGGUCACCCCUUUCCUUCCCACCCUGAACAUAAACGUUGGAUAGCGAGUGGAAGCUCCUGGUAUGAAGGAAGGUCUUGCAGGCCUGGGUAUGUUUGGCAACUGACAAAUGGAGGCCAUGGAGUUCUUCACAAAAGAUCAUACUUUCUACAGCCAUUUGCAAUGACACCUGCACUGUGCCAUUUCACUGUCCUUGGGCUUGGCAUAUAUUGCAGUGUAGUCUCCUUCUGCACAGGCUGUGGUGGUGAUUAGCUCGCUGGCUGUUUCUCUUGACUGUUCUGCUUCAAAUAGAAGAGAGAGUUGCAUGAGGAAUCUGAAGACAGACCAAGCCAUGGAAGAUAGAGGUUCCCAAAGGACACGUGAACUGAGACUGCGUUGAUUCAUAAAUCUUCAGGGGAUUUGCCACCCCUGAACUCAAACCUCUACUAUUCUGUUGAUCCAUACUACAGUAUGGAAGUUCAACUGGCUAGUUGUCUUAUGGGUCUUUGUACUUCCAUCUAUUGCUCCCUCACCAUCACCACUGAAACACACUUCACGGCAACUACCAAAUAAAGAUGACAAAUGUUACCACAUGACACCACAUAUUCAAAAAGUUUUUUCCAGCUUGCUUUUGAUAACAAUACAAAGAUGGUUUUGCAGAGCUCAAAGACUUCUCCCCCAGCCAAUCAAAUAAGAAAGCAUAUCAACAAUCUAGCCCACUUCUUCAAUGGAAUGCUGAGGAAAUUACCUAUUAGCUUCAGCUGCUCCAGCCCUGCCUCUGGAGAGUCCAGCCAUUCCUUGAUACAGCUGUGGCUUCAGUGCUGCUCAGCAUUAACUCCUUGCCUCCCACCUUCAAGUACAGACCUGCUCAUCCCAAAGUUUGGGUUGUUCUCAGUUUGUACAUAAGGCAGGCCAUAAGGCAGAAACUAAGAACAGUGAGGACUGUUCUCAAGAACUGUUCUUUAUUGGAAGAGAGAAUAUGCAUACAACCCCAAUGGGGAGGAACUCAAGGAGUUUCUAGCCUUCUCUUUUUUAAUGGCCCUAGAGGUGUUCUGUGGUAUGCCAAUAAACUCUUCCUUAAACAUCCUGCUUCUUCCACCUUUGCUCAGAAUUGAAACUAGCUGGAACAAAAUUCAAAAUAAACUUCUCACUGACCAAAUAAUGGACAAAUGUCUCAGGCAUCCUGAGAAGAGAGAGACAAUAUGGAUGGAAUGGAAAAGUGAUUUACAGGAACUGGCUAACACCGAACAGAUGAAGCUGUUUCAUAGACCAAGUGGGGGCAGGAGAUUUUCCUGCCAUGAAACAGCAUGGGAACUUUUCCAUAGGCUUUAACACAAUAGAAACUUCAUCUAACUACUACACAGACUUCUUUUUAAGUAUUUUUUCUCCAAAUUUCCAUGAUCUAGAUGCAUAAAUUGGCUUCUCCUCUGUUUGAUCUGAGAUAGUCAGCUCUUUCCUGCAGUACGAUUGUCUUGACUUACUGUCUCCAGUUUGAGAGGCUACAGUAGUGCUGAACACAGCUCUCUGCAUUUUAGUGGAUACCAAUCAUGUGGUUGUGACAUGUUUGGGUUUUUUUUUUUACUCUAGGGUUCAGAGGAUCUCAAGGGAUUUACCACCUGAGAUUUCCC